GACGAACGCUGGCGGCGUGCUUAACACAUGCAAGUCGAACGGUGAAGGGGUCUGCUUUUGUGGGCCCUGGAUGAGUGGCGAACGGGUGAGUAACACGUGAGUAACCUGCCCCCUUCUUCUGGAUAACCGCAUGAAAGUGUGGCUAAUACAGGAUAUUCUGGGUCUGUCGCAUGAUGGGUCUGGGAAAGAUUGCGCCUUUGGGUGUUUUUGGUGGGGGAUGGGCUCGCGGCCUAUCAGCUUGUUGGUGGGGUGAUGGCCUACCAAGGCGGUGACGGGUAGCCGGCCUGAGAGGGUGGACGGUCACACUGGGACUGAGACACGGCCCAGACUCCUACGGGAGGCAGCAGUGGGGAAUAUUGCACAAUGGGCGCAAGCCUGAUGCAGCGACGCCGCGUGAGGGAUGGAGGCCUUCGGGUUGUAAACCUCUUUCGCCAGUGAAGCAGGCCUGCUCCUUGUGGGUGGGUUGACGGUAGCUGGAUAAGAAGCGCCGGCUAACUACGUG
rnacentral:rRNA from 1 species